rnacentral:rRNA from 1 species
CUACGAAGGUCCCGAGCGUUAUUCGGAAUCACUGGGCGUAAAGGGAGCGUAGGCUGUAGGGUAAGUCAGAUGUGAAAUCUCAGAGCUCAACUCUGAAACUGCAUCCGAUACUGCCGUACUAGAGUAAUGGAGGGGUAACUGGAAUUCUCGGUGUAGCAGUGAAAUGCGUAGAUAUCGAGAGGAAGACCAACGGCGAAGGCAGGUUACUGGACAUUUACUGACGCUGAGGCUCGAAGGCUAGGGUAGCGAAAGGGAUUAGAAACCCUAGUAGUCC